rnacentral:rRNA from 1 species
UACGUAGGGGGCUAGCGUUGUCCGGAAUCAUUGGGCGUAAAGAGCGUGUAGGCGGUCCGGUAAGUUCGCUGUGAAAGUCGGGGGGCUCAACCCUCGAAUGCCGGUGGAUACUGUCGGGCUAGAGUGCGGAAGAGGCGAGUGGAAUUCCUGGUGUAGCGGUGAAAUGCGCAGAUAUCAGGAGGAACACCUAUUGCGAAGGCAGCUCGCUGGGACGUAACUGACGCUGAGACGCGAAAGCGUGGGGAGCAAACAGG